rnacentral:rRNA from 1 species
CCUACGGGAGGCAGCAGUGAGGAAUAUUGGUCAAUGGACGAGAGUCUGAACCAGCCAAGUAGCGUGAAGGAUGACUGCCCUAUGGGUUGUAAACUUCUUUUAUAUGGGAAUAAAAUGUUACACGUGUGGGAUUUUGUAUGUACCAUAUGAAUAAGGAUCGGCUAACUCCGUGCCAGCAGCCGCGGUAAUACGGAGGAUCCGAGCGUUAUCCGGAUUUAUUGGGUUUAAAGGGAGCGUAGGUGGAUUGUUAAGUCAGUUGUGAAAGUUUGCGACUCAACCGUAAAAUUGCAGUUGAAACUGGCAGUCUUGAGUACAGUAGAGGUAGGCGGAAUGCGUGGUGUAGCGGUGAAAUGCUUAGAUAUCACGAAGAACUCCGAUUGCGAAGGCAGUUCACUGGACUGCAACUGACACUGAGGCUCGAAAGUGUGGGUAUCAAACAGGAUUAGAUACCCGGGUAGUC